GAAACGUAUGUAACGCGAAAUUGAAAAAGUCACGUUGUUUAUCCUUCAAUUUUAAAAUCGGUCACGUUUAAUUUUUCUCUUCUAUAAUCUUUAAAAAUACAAAAGAAUAUCUUAACUCGGAAAAUGAACAUGUUUAAAAUUGGUUUUUUUCUCGUGUAUGUUCUCUAUGUUCGGGUUUGAGAUAACAGCCUUUCUGAAGUAGCAAGAAAGGAGAAAAUGUAGUGUUCUGUGUAUAAACAAAAUGAGACCGAAAUGGUUUCGAGGGGAUUUUAGAUCGGCUUACGUGACCUUAACAUUAACUUCUCGUGUUCAUGUCUCUUCAUUUUCCCCCUUCGGGCACGAGUACGGAGUCGUAAUUUAACUAUCAGAUUUAUAACACUGCCUGUGGCAAGAAUCCUAAAUACUGCUCUCAUCACUGCAUAUAUUGAUCAUUCGAUUCUCGAUGUGGUGCGAGAAGCAGUGAGUAUUUUCAAAUCAGCCAGGAAAGAAAGCUUUUGUCCUAAUGGAGUCCCAGAAGGGAAUUAUGUUGGAAGGUUGCGGCUCCUCUGCUUUUUCCUUCCUUCUGGGCCUUAAUGGCAUCUGGAAACCAAUAACCGCUCGAAUCAACUAAGUGACGAUUCAACAUCAGGGCUGCCAAUCAUUUGAGUGUCAGGAAGAUUGACGAGAUGGAGAGAUUGAGAGAAGGAAUGAAAUGCUUGCGUCAACAGGUCCCAACAAAGUUGUUAUAACUCUCUUUUUCUGCACCAUUUGCUUUAGAAGAAGUGGA